UACGUAGGGUGCAAGCGUUAAUCGGAAUCACUGGGCGUAAAGCGCGCGCAGGUGGUUUCUUAAGUCUGAUGUGAAAGCCCCCGGCUCAACCGGGGAGGGUCAUUGGAAACUGGGAGACUUGAGUGCAGAAGAGGAUAGUGGAAUUCCAAGUGUAGCGGUGAAAUGCGUAGAGAUUUGGAGGAACACCAGUGGCGAAGGCGACUGUCUGGUCUGUAACUGACACUGAGGCGCGAAAGCGUGGGGAGCAAACAGG
rnacentral:rRNA from 1 species